UACGUAGGGGGCAAGCGUUGUCCGGAUUUAUUGGGCGUAAAGAGCGUGUAGGCGGCCGCACAGGUCCGUUGUGAAAACUGGAGGCUUAACCUCCAGACGUCGAUGGAAACCGUGCGGCUAGAGUCCGGAAGAGGAGAGUGGAAUUCCUGGUGUAGCGGUGAAAUGCGCAGAUAUCAGGAAGAACACCCGUGGCUAAGGCGGUUCUCUAGUACGGUACUGACGCUGAGACGCGAAAGCGUGGGGAGCGAACAGG
rnacentral:rRNA from 1 species